rnacentral:rRNA from 1 species
UAGUAGUGGUGAGGUAUGGCUACCAAGGCGAUGAUAGUAGCGGCUUAACGGGUGGUCGCCCACACUGGGAUGAGAUACGGCCCAGACUCCUACGAGAGGCAGCAGUCGAGAAUAGUCUACAAUGGUCGAAAGACUGAUAGUGCGACGCCGCGUGAGCGAAGACUCCUUUCGGGGUGUAAAGUUCUUUUAUAUGUGAGCAGUGGAUGUUACAUUAAUAGUGUGAUAUCAGGGAUAUUAGCAUAUGAAUAAGCAACGGCUAACUCCGUGCCAGCAGCCGCGGUAACACGGGGGUUGCGAGCGUUGUCCGGAAUUACUAGGCGUAAAGGGCAGGUAGGCGGAGAUGUAAGUUUGAUGUUAAACGUACUGGCUCACCCAGUGUACGGCAUCAGAUACUGCAUUUCUUGAAUACGGUUGGGGAAGACAGAAUUCCUGGUGUAGCGGUGGAAUGCGCAGAGAUCAGGAGGAAUACCGAAGGCGAAGGCAG